rnacentral:rRNA from 1 species
CAGCCGCCGCGGGUAAUACAGAGGGUGCGAGCGUUAAUCGGAUUUACUGGGCGUAAAGCGUGCGUAGGCGGCUUCUUAAGUCGGAUGUGAAAUCCCUGAGCUUAACUUAGGAAUUGCAUUCGAUACUGGGAAGCUAGAGUAUGGGAGAGGAUGGUAGAAUUCCAGGUGUAGCGGUGAAAUGCGUAGAGAUCUGGAGGAAUACCGAUGGCGAAGGCAGCCAUCUGGCCUAAUACUGACGCUGAGGUACGAAAGCAUGGGGAGCAAACAGGAUUAGAUACCCCAGUAGUCCCUGUCUCUUAUA